rnacentral:lncRNA from 1 species
CCACCCCCCUUUUGCUUCCUCUGCCUUUCUAAUUCUCAAUCUGCUUAACCAGGCUUUAGAGGCCAAGCAAAUCUGAGAUCAAUUUUCUCGUUUAGCUCUAAGUGACAUCAUCUAAAAUCAUUGUGCAAGGGCUAAAUAAGGAAACGGAGUCUAAUUCAGGGGCAAACGCCAGGCUAUAUUUAUCAAACGCCAAGCUCCAGAAAGCCUCGGCUAGGAAGCCUCGGCAGUGAAAUCCGAGGGCUCGGGGUUGCCCGCUCCCGGAAUCCCGGAGUCUCCGCGGCCCGAACCGAGUCUGGACCAUUUAGAAGACGCCGGCAGGUAACUGGCCUCCCCAAACGCCCCGAAAAUUAAAAGCCUUAGGAGGCUUGUUCUGUGUUUGUGGUUUUGUAAAGGCAAUGCCCGCGGCAAUAGGCCUGGGAAAGUCGCACUUUCAUCCACAAAGUUGAGGAGUUGCAAGGAAUAAUUGGGUGUCACACCACAAGCAACCUUGACUCGAUCGGACCCCACCCAGGAUACACACAGACGCGCGCGCGCGCACGCUUCCGAGUUUCCAUUGAGAGUCUGGAAAGAGCAUUUCUUUCUUAAGUACCUGCGCUCAGCUAGAGCUCUCCCGGAGCAUUUUAAAUACUGAAUGCCGAGCGGAGAAGGGAAACAGAGUGUAUUAAUCCCCACUCCGGUUGCCGGUGUCUGCAAGCCUCCUCUAAGCAGCGCAGGCGGCAGCCUGGAUGUCUGUGCGCAUCAAGGAGACUUGCCGGCGCCAGAGUUGUGUCCACAGGUGCACUUGUGCCUCCCAAAGAGCGCGCGUAGAGACCAUUUCCCCUGCAACGCCCCCCAGCCGAACACCCGCCGGGUGUGGCACCUCGGCCGAAACUCCUGGGGCGGCGCGGUGGAGCGUGUGGAGGUUUCCGGGAAGACGCCUACGGCUGCGGCUCCGACUGUGCGGGCUCCCGCCGCCCAGGCAAGAGCGUCCAGGAGCGCGCUGGAAGCUGCGGCGCGCACCUUCCCCGGCGCAGUCUCUUGCCAGCCGGCGAUCACGCAGAGCUGAACCCCGCAGCUAGGCGCGCAGGAAGGGCUGCACAGAGUUUGAAGACACGGCAGCUGUAAGCUGGCGUGAGGAGGCCAAAGGAGCGCGCAGAGCUGCAAGCAAAGGGCGGUGGGGCCUGGACCCUGAAGUGAGUGGCCGACCGCAGCAGCUCAAGGUGCCAUCUGCCUGGCAAGCUACCCGGGUCCCUCCGCCCCACUCUAACUUUCCGCGAAAAUCAGUUCCGCCUCUGCCCCAAGAGCCAAGAGGGGUGGAAAGGAAGAGAGCUUGGGCUGGGAACGCGCCUGAUGUCUAACAGAAAGGCAGUGGCAGCUGGAGCACCUGGGCAGAGCAAGCGGAGAGGCGCCACAUCCCCGAGAGGCGCUUCGUAGUUGUCCUUGGACCGGGCGCAGACACUCAGUAUUGGUCAGCGCUGGAAAUUUUCUUUCCUUUUGCUGUUGGGGCCGCAGAACCAGUCUCCUCCUUUCCCCUGCUCAGACAAAGGGCACGGGAAGGGCUUUGCUGGGGCAAAGGGGGGUGGGGGGUUCUCUGUCCCACGACAGAUGGGUCGCGGUUAAGACUUUAAUUGCUGACUUUUGGGCCGGAUCAGAUUCCUUUUCCUACCUGCCACUUCCCAGCAGCGAAAAAUCCCCCUCCUGCUGCACUCCUCCGCCACCGGGCUAGGUUGAAAGGAAAAAGCCAAGAAGCGCGAAGCAGCCCGGCUCUGGAAGGCUUUGGAGAGUCCAGCUGACUUGUACACAAUUCGCGGCCUCUGGAGCCUUACCUGCCUUCUUGACUGAAUGCCACCAGUUCGUUUUACGCUUGUGGUGUGUCCCUCACUCUCCCCUUCCUCUCCUCCCCCUCCCCUCUCCUUAACUGCAAAAGAGCCUUUCUUUGACCUCUGUAAAUUUCUCCUUUGGUGUAUACCAAACUAAAAAGGAAAAAAUAUUGGCUAAGAGGUAUGCAUGCUUUGUAUAGUUUAUAUUUCAACAGUUUGCUUUUCACUAGUCUUUUCAGGAUUUGCCCUUUUGGCAAGUGUUUGAAAAUGUCAUUUGAGUUAACACAAAUAUGGCAAAGCAUCAAUUAUGCUCUUCCUUUAAGAUGGCCUUGAGUUUACUAAAGACUGAAAAGGUGCUUUACAACUCCAGGCCUUGAUAUCCAACAUUUGUUAAUUUUUUCAAAACCUAACCAAAAACACAUGUUAAUUAGUAAUACUAUCUCUAUUAAAUAAGAAUUGUCACAAAACACAAAAUAUAUUUAGAAAGGGCUUCUAUCUUACCGUCCAAUCUGUCUAGUACUUUAUUUCCAAAUAUAUUUGAAAAUAACAAAAAAGGCAAUAAAAACAGAGUAUAUUCAGCAAAUUCAGAAGCUUUCAAAACGUUUCAAUGCAAGUAUUUUUUAGUUAUUAAAACAAAUGCAAGGGAGCCUUGUUUGUUUUGUUAAUGGCAAAAUAGAAACUCUUACAGUUUCUUUGGAUUUUCUUUGAGAAUCCUAUAAUCCUAUUUUUUUGCUGAGAGCUGAUGAUUAAGUGUGCCUCCCCUUUCCAUCCAUGGAAAGGCAGUAUUUAUAACCUCAAAUCCUGAUGGAAGGCGAGUUUCAGUGUAUGAUUUAUCCUUUAUGAAAUAUCCUGAGGAAACCACAGCAGUUCAUGAUAUAAAGAGGCCAGAUAACAAACUCUGUGUUAAGAUCUAUUUAAAAAAUAAGAAAAAGUCCUGCUUUUCUAAAGUAAUUUAAAAUUCUCUUUUUCUAAGGAAUCUGAUUUUGACUUCAAUACUUUCUAAGCUGUGUUCUUGCUAUUACUAAAAAAUAUUCAUGAUUUCCACAGGCUUUUUGUUGAAGUCCCUAUCAUAAGCAAAUGCAGUUUCUGGCUAUGGUUACUGCAAUUCGAAAUAAAAGGUAAUAAGAUAAUAGAGCCAUACAUUACCAAAUAAGCCAUAAUCUCUAAUCUCUUAUUCCUUGAUAUGUCACAAAAUACUAUUGAUUUUUUUAAAUUAAAAAUGGAUUGGAAAAUAUUAUAA